AUGUAUAAUAACAACAUGGGACCACACCCUUGGAUGCCAAUGCCUCAGCCUAACCCAUUUGGCAAUGCCUUCUCUGGCCUUAUCAGAAGUGGAUUGGGAUCCAGCUCUGAGUAUGUGCAGAGCAACUCUUGCUGUAACCUUAUCAGGGGACUCUGGACUAGAAUCUCGGAACCAGUUGGGGGAAGACUUUCAUACAAGCCUCCAAUACAUGAUAUUUUAGUGCACCAGACUUAUACAUUCCCUUCAUGGCCUUUGGCACUUAUCUCUUUCUUGCUGGUUUCUCUAGGACUCUAUGGCAAGUUUUCUCCCGGAGCUCUGAAUUGGCUUUUUGUGAAAUGAAUGGUUGGCUGGUUUUUGCAAGUCAUGCUUCUGAAGAUAACCUUGCUUUCAUUAGGUAGCCGCGAAUCACCCCUCUUGGACAUUGUGGCAUAUGCAGGCUAUGCUUUCACUGGUCUCUUCUUGGCAAGAUCAUUUGGGGAUAUUCUUACUAUGUUUUGAUUCCGUGGACUUGCUUAUGCACCGGAGUUCUCUUGGUGAAGACAAUGAAGCGAGUUCUCUUUGCAGAAGCUAGGAGUUAUGACUCAAGCAGAAAAUCAUUACCUCUUGAUUUUUUAGCAUUAGCACAGUUUCCUCUUUUGAUCUGGCUUGGUAACAUUAGUGUCGAUUGGCUCUUUUGAGAUUCAUUAGUUGUGAAUAAAAAGAACACUUAUGAUGUUAUGAGAUGUACGAUACUCCUGAUGAAGUAGUACACCUCUCUCUUUUCAUAACUUCUUUUUAAUGUCAAUUUUUUUUGCAUAGACUACAUUUCCAACAUGAUUUAAAACCAAACAAGGACAUGAACUUUGGUCAUAUAGUAUUAUUAUCUAUACUCCAAGCCCUCCUCUUGCAUUGCAUUGGUGCAUUGUGAUACUCCUUGGCAGAUGGUUCCUUUUAAACCUGAAUGAAAGACAUGGAACCCUUUCUUUUAAAGAUAGUAUUCUUAUACAAAGAAAAAGAAGAAGAAGGUCGUCGUGUUGAACCUAAUUAGGAUCUAAUAUGCUUCCCAUCUUUGUAGCGUUGUUGAUAAGUUACAUCAAACCAAAUAUUGACCGACCUCAAAAACUAGUUUUAAAUCAUUUUCACUUCAGUCAAAUCUAUCUUGAAAUGCAAGUUAUUACCAUCUAAAGCAUACUAAACUGAUUAGAUUACAUUAGUGUUAUUCCAGUAUCUCAAUCUGUUUUAGAUGCGUCUAAACUAAAAAUGACACUUCUAAGAAAAUGGGGAAGUAACAAUUAGUGGUUAUUAUUUUUUUCACAAUUUUUUCAUCUAAGUAUAAUAUUUACAUGACAAAUUUGGAAGAAGUUAUCCAAUACCAUUUUAGAUUUUUCGAUCUAAAAUGUCAAUAAUCAUUUUCAUUUGACCAAAAUAUCUAAUAAAAGACAAUUGAAUCAUUCAUCAAAGUUUAAAAUUAGGAAGUUACUAUUAAUAAAAGUUUGGUUUUACUUAUAAAUACGUUGGUUUAUUGAUCUGAAAUUACUAACAAAAAAAGAAGAAAAAAAACAAGAACCAUUUAAGAGCUUAUAAAACAAUGGCUAUCGAAAAGAAAACCCUGAUCGCCUCCUUCAUCACCGUUAUGAUGAUGGUAAUGAUGAUCGUGAACCAAGUCGAGGCCAGGAACCAUGUCACAAUCAAGCCGCCUCCAAAGUGAUCAUAGUCUUUUUGUUUUUUUUUUCUAAAUCGAUGGCUCCAAAAGUUUAUGAGAAAAUAAAUGGUUCCUUCAACGUGGAGCUUAAAGCAUGCAUGGCUUAACUAAUUUUUAUUUACUUCAUAUAUAUAAUAUUUUCAUCCUCUUAUUUGUUUAGUUAUGGAUGUAUAACUUAUAAAUAAUGUUUCACAAAAUAAUAUUUUGUAUGUGAAUGAAAUGUACUAGUUUCAUAUUUCAUAGGCAGAGAUUGGUGUUGUGAUCUCUCUAGAAAUUGACAACAUUAAUGUUCACAUUAUUUUUUCUUUUGUUUGUAACAGAGGAUAAAAAUAUCCUUGUUAUAUUAAUAUUAUUAAGUGAGAUUUAGCUA